rnacentral:rRNA from 1 species
GUCCAGACUCCUACGGGAGGCAGCAGUGAGGAAUAUUGGUCAAUGGCCGGGAGGCUGAACCAGCCAAGUCGCGUGAGGGAAGACGGCCCUACGGGUUGUAAACCUCUUUUGUCAGGGAGCAAGGUGCAGGUCGGGACCUGCUGUGAGAGUACCUGAAGAAAAAGCAUCGGCUAACUCCGUGCCAGCAGCCGCGGUAAUACGUAGGGGGCGAGCGUUAUCCGGAUUCAUUGGGCGUAAAGCGCGCGUAGGCGGCCUGUUAGGUCGGGGGUCAAAUACCGGGGCUCAACUCCGGUCCGCCCCCGAUACCGGCAGGCUUGAGUCUGGUAGGGGAAGGCGGAAUUCCCAGUGUAGCGGUGGGAUGCGCAGAUAUUGGGAAGAACACCGGCGGCGAAGGCGGCCUUCUGGGCCACGACUGACGCUGAGGCGCGAAAGCUAGGGGAGCGAACAGGAUUAGAUACCCCCGUA